AGUUCCUAAUGCCUAUACAUAAUUUCAGUGGCCUGGUGAAGGAAGUUUCACAAUGUGUAAAGGAAACUCCUUCAGAAACUUUGAUCACUUGGAUUUACCGUUUUCUCCUUCCUUUAAUUCCUCAGUUCCACCUGUGCUCUCACAUCUAAACAAUAAGCAAACAGGCAAGAGACUGGAAAGCUGUUUUGGAAGAAAAAGGUUUGGCUCUAGUCUUCAUUUGAGCAUAAAGUGAUUUUUUUUUUUUCUUAAGGAUUCAAAAAUAUUGCUUGGGGUUUAGUUCAUUUCAAUGCCGUAGUACUAUGUAUUGCCUAACUCUCUAUGGGUGAUAAACCUCACGGUAGAAAUAAUAAAGUCACCAGAACUGUUAAGAAAAUCUAUUCGAGUGGCAGAGCUUGACAGAGCCCACAGAGAUAGGUAAGAAUGAGCAGGCCAUGGGAGGUGUGGGUUGUCCCCACACAGUUCUACAGAACAUUGACACUGAAGUGUACAGGUGACAAGUUAAGUGUUAGCUUUGUGAAUUGCUUCACUUCUGAUUACAUUAACAGGAAUAUCUAAUUGUUCUUAGACUUGAAGCAGAACCUGGGGAUAACACCGCCUACUUUCUUCCCAACUUCGGCCUGAAGUUCCUGAAACAUCAUUCUGACAGUAUACCAAAAUAAGAACAGCAAGAAGUCUUACACAAGUACCCAGAGAACUCUUGCUGCAAGUCCAGUUAACAAAUAAAAAAGAGUCCAACAAACAGACAGCUAGAUAGAAGGAUUUGUCUGUCCCAUUACUUCACCAAAGAGAAUCUCCUCCAAAAUUCAAUCAACGACAUGGGAAGUUUGUCUGUGCCUUACAUGCUCCUGGUCACAGUCCUAACCAGCAUCUUAGCACAACCUCAUCUUCUCUGAUGGCUCCUUCUAGGUUACAAGACUAUGAAUUUAUCAGUAACAAAGCUGAUAACCAUAAGCACAGGAAGAGUAUCCACAUCUAUAACGUUCAAUACACCUAUGUCUGCCAAAGUCUACACCUGUGGAUGCACUGAGAUGAUUCAGGUUAUCCUGCCUUCAGCAUUCUCCUCUGUUCCACUCAAGGUCUUGCAACAAAACAAGGGUGUGCAGACACAUCCAUCAGACCAUUAAGUAACUCAACCAAUAUUUAGUUCAUCUUUGAAACUGCUGAAGAAGUUUCCUUAUACUGGUGCUGUCCUUUCACCAAGAAGCAUGGUAUGAAAGUGACAAAAAUGGUUUUGUUUUCAACACAUUCAGUUCUGUGACUGCUGGUCUAAGAUGAAGAUAAAAUAAAUACAGAGAAUAAAAUGCAAAAAAAAGAGGAGCACAAACAAAAGGAUUAACUUCACAAGUGAGAAAAAUAAACAAAGGGAGGCUCAAGAUGCUCUUCAGCUCAAAUAUUUUUAAAAUAUAGUGAAUCUGUUUCUUAAAUAUCCUGAUUUUAUGUAGGAAGUUGGGGGUUGCAGGUAGUGAGCUUAUGCUUCAGGGGAAGAGGGAAUGUUACCCCUCCCAUUUGCAGUUUUCUUCAGUUCAUUAAAUGAAAGAAAUUGAUUUGGCGAAGCUAAUUUUGUAAUUAAAAAGCUUAUCAUGACUUUCUCUAAUGAGUUAAGCAAACAGACAGUAAUUCAGUGACAAUAUUUACACAGUGCACACUGGGGGACGUCUGUUUAGAAAAUUAAAUAAUAGAAGAAAAUGGAAGGAGGAGAGAUGGGAAAGUAAGCAAAGGAGAAGAGGUCAAUUCUAGACACAAGUUCAUUCCAUGAUGUUGGUCCUCUGACGACAUGUCCCUGUUCCCUUUGCCACACAGCAGUAAAAGGAAGAGAAGAAUGUAAAUGACCUAUGCUAUCUACCGUAUGUAAUCAAGCUUUUUUCACUCACUAAAUUUACUGUGCUCUCAUCUCCAACUGGGACUAUAGCCAACUCUCUGUUAAAGACUUCAGGGAACAGCUUUAUACACAUGCAAGGCCAAGAGCCACCUUCCCAGGAUGCAGUUCCUCCCUCUAAGGCACCAGAAACCACAUGCAUGCUGGCUGAGAGCAUGGAAGAAAACACAAGCUCUUGAGAAGUGAAAUGCUUGACCCUACUUGUUUCAAAAACCUUUGCUAUUGCAGUAGAGACGAUACUCGGGACAAAAACUAUCCCAUUUACACCUUCAGAAAACAAGUAAACAUCAUGAAGAAUCUGUCUUAUGCAAAGUUUUGUGUACUGCGGGGUUAAAAAGGAGAUGGGAAACCCAGAGUUUCCCCAAGGAUUUAUCUUCUCUUGGUCUAUAGCAUUAUGUGGACGUACACCGUUCUGGUUCUAGGGGAAAUCUUCCCAGAGGAGAAAGAGGAAAGUCUCUUCUCCUGUGCUUCUCUUGUCCUCCAGAGUAUGCUCUUCCACCAUCUCCUCCUGCCCCAUGUAGCCAUGUAUGAAAUGUCUGGUAGCUUAGGAGUGAAGAGGAAGUGAGCUCUGAAACAGUCCUUUUUAGUUUUCUGAGUUUUGCAUGCUUACAAGGCUACCCCAUGUAUGCUUUAAAUGAGAACUGGCUCAGAUACUAUAGCCAAAGGCAACAGUACAAAUCAAGAUAAAAAGAUGAGUCCUAAAAAACCUAAAAAAGUCCUAAAAAAGGGUGAGCAGAAGAUCAAUUAAAUACACAGUGCCACAGAGAUAGGAAAAUGCUAAUAAGAUAAAAAUUAAUAGUGGGAGUAAACUCACAAAGACCAGAGAGAAAGAACAGAAUCACAAUUUUGGUAGUCAGAAGAAAGGAACCUAUGGAUUGAAAAAAAUUCUAAAAUGCCAAUGCCUAGCUUUACUGGAGAGUGGGAAACAACUCAUAUUAAUGAACAAAAUAAAUCAGGAGAUUCCACUCUCCAACUUCCAAAUUCCCAGAGAUAAAGGAAAGCAAUAAUUUAUCUCUAUACAGCAGCUUAUCAGUAGUAUCAUCAAAAUGUGAUGGGGGAGAUAACAGUGAGACCUCCUUUCUUUAAGACUUACUCCAAAAUUUGACAACUUUCAUUUCUGAACUGAGUCCAACAGGAACCUGUGAUGCAAAUAAAUGGGUGGUAAUGAAUCUGCACCACUUGGUACUCUGACACCAAAAGCUGAAUUUCUGUGCUAAGUCCUGGUCUCUACCUCCCCUGUUCCUAACACCCUCUUAAUGACUAAUGCCAGCCAAACCCACUGAGUUAAUAGCUGACUUCAGUCACAUAAAAAGGCAUCUGCCACUUGCACAGUUACACAAAAGCCUUGAGCCCAAUCAAACCACAGACAUAUCAAAUGUACCUGAUUCUUCCCUACAGUGAUCAGUUUCCCCAUUUCUGCUGCCCUAAGAGGCAAUCUUUGCACAUCCCACUUUCUCACUGAUUUGUGAAAGUAUGGACAUCAUAAAAAAGCAUUGCAUUCUGAGACCACAGAGCAGGCUCUGAAAACAUGCAGGAGUUGGACUCCUAGUUGCAAGAGCUGGAUGGAACCUACUCAUACCCCCAGAAGCUCACUCCUAUAUGACAGCAUGUGCCAGAAGAUAAAAUUUCUGACAUAGACUGCACAGGCACAGGGCAAGGUGAGAAAGCUAAAAUCAGCAGUAAUAUCUGUGUGCACCUACAACAGAGUUCAGCAUCUUUAAUCCCUUGCCCUAGAAAGAAGACUUUAGUCACUUCUCUCUUACAUCUUCCUCUGACAGGAGGGCAUGAUCACACAGUCAUUAAUAGCAAACAUCCACACUGCCUAACAGUACUAAUUUGAUGCAGAUCAGGCAUCAGCCCACAGCUGCACUACUGUUAAAGAAAUAGAGCAUUUAGGCAAUCAUUGUGCAAGCUGGGGGUAAAUACACCUGAUCCAGAGAUAUCAGAGAUGUGCAAACAGUACAAGAUCCAGCACAAAGUCUACUGGUACACAAAAAAAAUCCUUUGAACAAAUCUGCAAGGGCAGAAUGAAAUUAUCAGUGCAACAUGGUCCUUUCCUCUGUUUUAUCUCAAAUGUCCAAAAGUUGGACAAAAUAUGUCACUGGAACAUUUUCAUUACAGAUGGCAGCAAGAGCCUCUCCAGGUACACAAGCACAGAAUGUGUUAAGAGAGACCCAGAAUUGUCCCCACUUGCUAUGACUCACUGCCAAACAUGUCUAGAGAUUUAAGGUUUGUGAAUUUCUGCGCUCCAGACUCAAUUCCACAAGCUAACAAGCAUCCCAUGAUUUAAAGGAAUUUUAGGGGUGCUCAGUUCAUAACACUGGAUAAUUGUUUGUCAAUGAACUGAGUAAUUGGUUGCCAAUGAGACUUCUCAGCAAAUACUUUUUGGGUUAUACUCUCCAGCAUACCUUCCUCUCCUCUCCUUUCUCUCUCCUCACCCAUUCUUACAGUGUUUUUGAGUCCAGGAGCAGUACCUUAAUGACAGCAAAGAUAGCCAAUGACAAUUUGCUGACAAGAAAGCAGAUGAGCUCAAGAAGUUGCCUAGUUCAGGCCUUCAGGCAGAGCUGUGCCACUUCGUUAGCUGGAAUGAUAACGCGAAACUCCCAGUGGUGUGCUGCAGUAAUAUGUAAUAAAUGCUACCUUUAUACGUAGCAGAAAAAUCCCUGCAGAUUAUACUGCUAGGUAACAAUUCUGCUUCGUACUUAAGUGAACAGCAUAAGUGAAAUUUGGCAGGGCUUUUCCAUCUCUUACCUCUGUAACCUAAUACUCUCAGCAAAAAAGCAACUACUAUUUCUUUAUUUUUUUCCCUAAACAAUUAGUAAUUGCUUUGCUUUGGGGAGCCGGUGCACAUCAGCCUGUAUGGCUGUUCCCGCAAGACGCAAUCGGAGCUGCUCCAGUAGGCAGCAUAGCUCACAUGCUUAGACUACGAAUACGAAGCAGAGGGUCUCCUUCAACUCCAUCACAGGCAGUCUUCGAGUUUAGGAAAAAAAAUGCACCAGACAUGUAGAACACCACUAUACUAUCUUGAAGGGUCUUUUUUUUUUUUUUUUUGAGUUAGAAGUUCACCCUGGAUUUCUUCUACUUGAAAAAACUGUACCUGAGUACUUGUUACACAGUGAAAAUUAUUAGGUAAUGACUUAAAGACCUGAAGGGCAAGCUGAAAAAAAGGAACAGUAGGAGAACUAUUGAGAACAGCAGAAGUGAAAAAAUGAUCCAUGCAUCUCCCACCUUCCUCACAGCUUAGUGUCUUUUUUUUCUUUUUUUUUUUUUUUUUAAAUUGUGGGAAGUGAGGCUGUCGUGAUGAGUCGAGAAUGAGGUGGCUGUGAGGUUUCUCCAAGGAGUCUUUAACUACCCUCUGGGUAUAUUAGUGCCUGCCUGCAACACAUGAAACACUUGAGCAUUAGCUUAGCUCUCUUUCUCCAGUUAAAAGCAUUAAAUUGCAGAUGCCAAGUGUUUUCUUCCCCUCAUUCUCUUUCAAAUUCCUGAAAGCUUAAGUAAUUUUGUCAUGACUCACAUUAUAAAAAAGAACAAGUGAUGUGACUGCUCCCACUUAUGCACAUGUACAAAACAAAUAUUCUCUGUCCGCUCUACCUUUACUUGCUGGUGACUGCAGCCCUAUCAUCAUAGCCAUCUGUUUAAGCAUUGAUGCCAAGUUCUGCUCCAUGAAGUACUCUAUUUUUUUUCCUUCGCAUUGUGGAAAACUCACCCUCUUGACACCUCAUCCCAGAUAAUCUUAUAACACUCCCACUAAAUUCAAUAGGCUCAAUUCACAGUAUUAAAUGAGAAGACUUUGGUAAUAUAGCAUGAGUAAAAAUCCUCUGCGCCCACAGAAAAUACCCAUUCUUGGAUCACAUAGAUUGGACACAAAUCAUGGUGCUAAAACACUGGAGAAACUGCAAGCAAGCAUCUCCCAGAGUUUUACCCACAAGCACUUAUUUCCCAGAACAUAGGACCGAUCUUACUAGACUUCUAAUGAACACCAUUCAUACACAAUUUGACUGCAGAAUUAUAUUUUCUGUCUUCAGCAAAUUGAUUAAUUGUGGAAACAAUUACAAUCAUUACUAUUCUGCAUUAAUAACAGACUGAGAUAACUAGUGGUGUUUUACAUCAGGUUCACAAGCCAAAGUCAUCUCAACUAAGAGAGUAGUUUGUUUUCCUCCAUACUGAAAGGAGUAUCAGCUUCUAGAAAACAAGUUCCCCAUCAACUUUCUUCUGGAAAACCAUCCUGCCCCUGCUCCUUUCAGCUCCGAGGUCAAGAAGCUAUCAUUUUUUCAGUCACAAAGGUAUCGAAUGCAUGAUCUGAAUUGAAAAUAAUUUUAUAAAUGCGUAUGGGAACACAUGUUAAUUUUCACUUGAGUUUACUUUUCAAAAGUUACAACAAAUAAUGGAAUUUAGCCAUGUAGUUUAGGUGCCAUAUUUGGGAUAAAUAAAGAACAAAAUUUUCCAAACUCACUAAAGCAAACACCUUGAACAGGUUUAUAAUUAGAAAAAAGUUCUUAAGUAAACCGCUUACAAACUGCAUCAUUUUUGCAACUCCUUAUGUGAUCUCUUCUUCUUGUGAAACAGCAAACCACUAUGAUCAGAACCCUUUGGAUAUAUACAGCACUUUUGAAACUAGGAAGCAAUGGAAAUUCAGAUUCCGGUGGCAAAUUUUCUGAGUGAUACCAACUCAUGUACGUUAAGAAUGAGCCUCUGAGCUUCUGAAUCCUUGCUAACAAAUUCAGAUAGCUUUAGAUCUGUUCCCAUUACCAGUGUGUAAACAGAAAGGAAACAGUACCAAAGGCAUCUACGUAGCUAUGUAUUUAUCAUAAUCAAAUUUCAAACUCCCAGUCUUUUUGAAGGAGAGGGAAAUGGUUCAAAACCUGUAGUAUAAUUUUGUAGCUCCACUGCCUUGCAAUACACACCUAGAUGCAGCUGGGGAGCUUUCUCCUACUGCAUACUACAAGGGUCUGAUACAUACAUGGAAACAUGCAACAGCACAACUCUGCCUUAUCACCCACUCUUCCUUAUGACUGAUAAAGGUUUUACGCUCUCUACUGCAGGCAUAAUUUCUGACACACUUCUGCAAAGCCUUUUAUCAUCGAUAGUAUGUAUAAAAUAUUAAAUAAUAAUGGCAAUAGCUAGAUAAAUAAUUCACUGAGAAUAAAAUCCAGUUCAAGAUUGGUCUUUUUUUUUUUUUCCCCUUCAUGGACUGAACCAGAUUUCUGUGAAUGGAUUUGUUAUUCAGAAACAAAUGCCAAAUAGUUCAUUUGAGCACAUUUCCGCCUCCAGAACAUUUGCAAACUACUUACUUCAAUUAUUCUCUAUUCACAGUCUGCAAGUGGUAGGAUGGUAUUGUUUCCAGUUCUUGACUAGAGGAAUAAAACUUUUUAAAUGGGUGGAGUGAUAAGUAGUAAAUGCUAAAUCACUGUUCAUAAAUAGCAUUCUAAGUUAGAUGGCUGCAUGAUUCCACACUCAUGUCAAAGUCCAUUAAACUCACAAAACAGAGAAAUGUUUUUACAAUUACUUACGGGAGAGGACACCACAUAUAGCAGCGGUCAUAUUCAACACUUUAACUUUAAAAGUAUUUACAAAUUACUUAUUGUAUUAAGCAGCAAAUUUUAAAAUCCAAGAGAGAGCUUUUUAAUUUCUCAGGCAGAGAUAGCAUACUAAAGAAUUCAUUAUUAUCUUUUAAAUGGAUAGAGCAUCCAAGAAAACUCAGUAAUUUUAAAGCAUCUUCAACACCUUUGCAAUUCGGUAACCAACGCCGCUUUCUUUUCCCAUUUUGCAUGCUAUAUACAUAUAUGAGCAGUCUCAUCUUCCUCUCAAAGCUGUGAUGCUAAGAAUUCCCUCCCUCACCAAUUUUUCUACUACCUUUUAACUAACCACUGCAAAGUUCUCUUUGAUCAGAGUGUGAGACAUAAUCAUAACCAUGAAAGGAGAUGGCCAAAAAUUUGUUGGUGUCAACCUUAAUAGCUAAAGGUUGGUUAUUCUAUCUCUGUGCCAGCAAAAGGAAAGAUGUACUAUAUAAUCUAGUGAGUGGAUAACAGCAUUAGGAUGUGGGUGAGCUCUAGUAUCACAGUGCUUGCAGAGUGACAUUUGGAUGGCUUGACUGAUGAGGUGCUUUUGUUAGGUUGAGCUUCAUAGGGUGUGGCUGUGUCAUGAUGUUGUCAGAGGGGACUUUGCCUUUUUUUAAGGCAAGGAAUAGUGAAGAAGCUGUUUAAGCUGUCAGAAGUCAGAAAUCAGACAGAUAUAGUAAGUACCACUCUAGCCAUCUAUAGUAACAGAAUCUGUUCCUUCCGAGUCCUCUUUACAUUUUUAUUUUGAACUUGCAGUAAUAAAUGUAAAAAAAACAAGAAAACACUAUAGUCAAUGUCAGAAGAAAUCAGCCAAAAGUCAAGACAGUGAAAGGCAAUAAACCUCCUAAGCUCCUGUGAGCCUAGCUAUUCUAUCCCCCUUGCUCCUCAAAUCCUUCCUCUUAUUUGCCAAUACAGACGCACCCCCUCAUUCCUGUCAUCAAUAUACAUUCUUAUUUUUAAAAAAAAAAAAAAAAAAAAAGGAUGAAGAGCUAACUGAAUUCCGGGCCUGAUGGAAUCAUUGAUUCAACGCAGACUUCAAAGGGAAUGUGCGAGGUGCUUAUACCUGAGUGACAUAUCAUUGCUUCUCCUGUGCUCAGCAUGCCCUGAUGAAUAAUCAUGGCAGCUUUUAAACAGACGCAAGGAAUGCCGAUCACAGUUUGUCUCUGAGUCAGCUGACAUUUUUUAUUUUAUAUAAUAAAGCAAAUGGGGGUGGGGGAUACAGACAGAGAGCAAGCGCCAGCCCUUUCAGAUCUCAUUUAGUCUAUACUACAAAGAAACUGAACUUCAUAAUCCUGGACACCAAUAAGGGGCACAUACCCCUCCCUCUGUUAAACUGAUAAAUCUUGACACAGUUUAGGGAAAGGACAAAGAAAACUUACAGUCUUUAAUGUGGAUAUCUGUGACUCUGUAUGUGUGAUGAGAUUAGAGGGAGGAAGCUAAAGGAUUUGCAAGGAGUCAGUGUGGGUGCACAUACAUACAUUUCCCUAGAUUAGGAGUUAUUCUAAUAUCUGACAGAAAUAACCUGGUAAUCACAUUGGAUGCAACUAGCGAGGACAAUAAACAAGCUUCCCUGUAAAAACUCUUCCAUAGUGCCUGUAAAGUUCUUAUCCAUGUGAUGGUCCUCCAAAAAAUGAUUUGGAUUUACGGACAGUGAUGGAGGGUGCAAUGCAGCCGGUUGACAAGGAGGAGAGCAGGGAAUGCCAGACCUGCUGGAAGGUGUAAUGUGCUACAACAGCUCCUUUGCACAUGAGGGUCAUCAGGAUCAUGCUCUUGGAAGCUAGGAGUCCCUGGCCUGGCUGGGUGUUUGAGGGCACAGUGACCACCAACGACCAACAAAUCCCUUUCAGAGAUUUUGCCAAGCAUAAUAUGAACUUGUGGAAGUUAUAAAUACUGGUUUUCCAUGAAGACUUCAAAGUCCUGAUACUACUGUUCCAUACAGAUUGCAUCAGCCUCCGUCCUCUUUCUAUCUUGUUAUUUCUGCUGUAUUUUUGAUACUGAUUUUAUUCAUAGUACAUCAGGUCAUUUUUCCUUGUUUUUGUUGAUGGAUAGCUGCAAUUCAAAAACUUGUUUCCUUCUAAUUGCAUUUUUAUCAGAAUAACUAUCGUGAGAGACACUGCAGAGCAGUCCAGUGGUUUCACACUUUUGCCCAAUACUGUUUGAGGGACAUUCCAUUAGAAUAAAUAUCUUCAUUCUGUUAGAGAAAAGGACUUCUCUAACUAAUCAACCUGUGCCAGACCCAACUUUCGUCAACACAAUAGCUGCCUACAGGAUGACUUGCAAUUUAGUACAUGAUUACCUAUUGCCAGCAAAUCCUCAGUCUUCACAGCCUAAGCAGUCUGUGCUGAGAAAUGUUAAAAAACAUCAACACAUAGAGGGGAGGAGGGUGUGGACUGAGGAAAGGAUAUGAGAGAAGAAGAGUAAUUUACUGAAGAGAAAAAAAAAUGAAAAGGUAAGAAAAAUGGAAGAAAUACAGAAGUGGAAAAACAAGACGAGGAAAAGCAAACGAAAAAGUUGGGAUAUGACUGAAGAAACACAAACCAGUCUCAGUGCUUCAUAGCUGCAGUUCGACAAACACGGCUCCAGUGCCACAAAACCGGCAGCCUGGGUAAUACACGCAUCCAGCUCCUGGCCGCCUUCUGUUCCAGUGUAGGUGAGGUGGCAACAGGUCUAUAAUAUGUUGCCUCCCAGUCCGCAUACCACUGGCAGAAACUGCACCCUUGAACUAUCCUGUCCUGCUGAAGCCAUUAUACAAUGUGUAACUUCAGGACUGUGAACUGCUGCUUGGUCUUGGAGUCGUGGCCUCUUCGUGCUUUACAGCUUGACAUGCCUGAUUGACAAGUUCCUUCUGCUCAGUUCUUGAUUUUUUUCCUCUCAGCUUUCCUUUUCUGCUGUACUCUAUUUGCAGACCUCAUCUGCAGUUACAUGUGUCUAUCACUGGAUCAUCUGAAACAACUCCUAAUUACUGUAAUUAUAUUAAAUGUCUUAAAAACACACACACAGAAAAAAACCCCACAAUCUCAGUAUUCUGAAAGGAAAACAAUUUUCACUAAUGUUGAACACAAAUUCCCUGUUCAGGAAGGAGAGCUCAACUCAGUUUUCCCUUGUAAUCUCUCUUUAGGAGAUCCCUUUAUUGCCCUGCAAAUAAAUUUCCCUCCUGUUAUCUUUACUUUAAACUGAACACAAACUUCAAAAUGAAUACAUGUAGUAUUCUCUUAAUUCACCUCCUCAUUUUACACAUCUUAGGCUCCUUAUUGUUUUCACAAUGAGAAAGAAGUCAGACUUGUGGACAGGCUGCGAAAUAAAAUAUUAUCCUUAAAAAUUCUGUUUCAUUGCAAAAAUCAUGGUCAUUUCUUGCUUUUUACUGUGUAAGGUUGACUUCUAGAAAGUCAUGAUCCUCAUCCAUACCUUCAUAAUAUGCAUGCACGCUGUCGCCUGAAACAAAAUCUUCAUUGACUGUGGUAGUAAUUCAGGCCUUUAAACAGAGCUGAUUGCAACAGGCUCUGUCAGGUUAGGGUCAUAGCAACAUACACAGCAGAAGGACUUUUCAAAACUCAUGCCAAACUUCUUCAGAGCCCCCCUCAUUCCAUGAAAUCAGAUCAUAAUAUGCUCAGGCAUGCUGCUUGAGAAAAUUCAAGGUAUCUCCCUACGUCCAUAUGAAAUGUAGAGACCACCCUCAUAUUAAGAUUUCAGCAUUUGUGAUCUCAGGAGAGUGCAUACCAGAAGAAAAAAAAAUCAUUUUGAUUAUAAAACUGUGCAUAAUUAAGGGAUCCCAGUUGUGCAGGUUUGUUGUUUGUUUGUUUUUUCUGUUAGUUGGGGUUUUUGUUUUGUUGUUGGUUUUUUAGUCAAAGCAUAGUUUAGUUCCUUUUUCUUCCUACCUAUACCAUAUAUUGCUAAAAAAUAUUUGCUCACUAGUUACACACUUGCACUUUCACACUACAACAGGAAUGAACAUGAGUUAAAAUGGGUGAACUGAUAAUUCAACUGAUUAUUUUUCCUCAUAUUAUCAAUUUAAAAAUUCCUUUGGAGGAAUGAUCUUACUGAUUGAAUAUUCUAUAAUUUGUUUAGACUUAGACUGAAUUAGAAUAUUGUCACUUCAUUCUUUUUAUUUUCUAUUUAUGGCCUAAGUGAGUUAAACAUAUCCCAGAAGCCCAAUGCCAUAUACGUUUGCCUGCAAAGCUGAGGCUGUGGCUGUUUUCCAACACAUUGAAAAUAAUUUUGUCUCUUUACUUGGCCUCUAGUUUACUCACUGCUCUCAAUAUACUGUAGAGUAGAUUGUAACUUCUAAACUUUGUGAUGUUUUCAAAGAUGACUUGGUAAGGUGUGCUCUCUAGAGCAGGCAAAAUCAAAUCAAAUUCACAAGCAGCAGAACAACUACUGCAAACAAAAAUCAUCCAGAUUUCUCACCUAAAAAUAUAAUAGGAGACAAGGGUGUGCAUACCCAUACACACAUUUUCAGGUGAUCUGCAAAACAGAGACUAUGUAGAGGAGGGCAUAUAUGUGUAUCUCUUUCCUAGUUCACUUUCACACUCCAAGCAAGACACACUCUUCCAAGCACAUGCAGGGCUCAAAGUCAUGGAUGAAACAGCUAUGCUUCCACUGUCACCUCUACAUACAGUGGGCCUUGCCAGCAUAAGUUCAAAUUCUUCAGCAUUGGUGUGCUUUGUUUUCUUCUUUUCUUUUUUUCAGCUGAAGCUCAUCGGUGUUUAAAGCACCAUAGAGCACUUAAAGUUUCACCCUAGUGACCAUCUCACAAAUUAGAUGGUAGAUGGAGAAACACCAGCACCAUGUCAAGCAGGAACCCCACAAAGAGCGCUCCCCUCAGCCACGUUACAAUAACAGGAGUUUCCCAUGACCUUCAAGAUUCCACUUCAGCUCCCUCCAGAGACUUAAGCAGCCUCUCUGCUAUUAAGAUGUGUCUUCAUUUGUCAACAGAAAAGCUGCUAAAUUGCCACCCUGAGCAAAUUUACAUAGAAAUUACCAAUGAUACUCUGCAAACAGUGAGGAGAAUUACAGCAGAGCCACCCAGCAGAAACACUUCAGCCUACAAAUAGUCACUGCUCAGACAAAGAGAAGGAAAAUGAUAAGAGGAAAAUACACUGGACUUGCAUUCAGCACUGUGAGAUCUGUUUAGGCUCUGAGUAUACUAGACCCACAAGAACUUUCCCAGGACACACAGCAGAUAUUGUUAAUGUUUUCUCUUUAUCUGCAAAAUAUUUCAAAGCUCCCUCAGCAUAUCUGUCCUAUACAGGUGCAUCCUUUAUAAACCCCCAGACAUCGCAACAGCCUGAAAGGUAGCAAAUUGCUCCCCCAUCCUAGCAAUGGAUGCCUGGCUUUUCUGUCUGGUACUCUGAACUUUCUCCUGCGCCUAGUGGAGAAGCCUUGUUGCCACCUCUACUGUCUCAAAGAGAUCGCUCUCUCCCAGGCACACAGCUCAGCCUCUCCACAUAUCCUGAGUCUCCCCAGAGCCCUUCCCGUUUCCACAUCCCUGGAUAUGACACCUACUAAAUGACAUACCCUACAGACAAUGUAAGGGCCUGAUUAGAGUGAAAUGUUCUUUUUUAAUUUUGUGAUCUCCUUUCUAGGGCUCUUGAUGUGAUUACAAGGGGUCUUCAUCAACAAAAUAGUAGAGAUAUGCAAUCUUAAAUUAAUUCUUCUGUCACACCCAAACUGCUGUAGCAUGUAGCCUCUGAAGCCUCAUAUGAGGGAUCAGGCAAUCACUGAUGAAAGACAAAGCUGCCACAAUUGCUAGCCUUGACCAGACACAGUUGGAACCCAGAGAAUUUAUUUCAAUGGGAUCACAAUUUCUGAGCUGCCCAUCCUUUGAUGGAGGAUGCCUUCUGUUACGCCUAAAAGUCUGAGCGCAGGGUCCUAGGCAUAUAAAUCUUCAGACAAAUGUCCUAGAGACUUAAAAGUGAUCAAGUCUGAGGAAAAAUAAUGGUUCUGGACCUUGUCUACCUAAUGGUAGACAAGUGGUCAUUACGACCAAUUCAGGAGACAAACCAAGGGAUAAAAAGAAGCAUAUUUGCAUUUCUUCAGGCAGCAGUAGAGACUGCUGGAUUGGCAUUAUGGAGAAAUAAAGAAGAAUCAAACAACAAUAAUCUGUAUGAAAAAUAGUUUCUCUGUACAGGUAUGGUUCAUAUAUGUAAGCACAUACAAGAGAGGAAAAAAAUCAGGUCAUGGGGUAUCUUAUACUUAUGCGAACCUAACACAAAAUGACUGUACAGAGAGGGAGAAAAAUCCCAUUUCAAAUAAUGAUCAAGGCCAUCACAGGGGAAUGAGCGGCUUCCACUUCUUAAAGCAAACAGCCAGCUAAUAUUUAUUCCAUAAUAUAGACAAAACUCUGCCUUCUGUCAAGGGGAAGGGAAUAAAUUGUUUUUCCAUAAUGGUGUUUUCUUUUCAAUCAAUUUCCCUUCAAGCUUGAUUUAAGAGGAUGCUAUGUCAGAACCUCAAGCAAAUGGAAGAAAUCUAAGACACUCCCCCAUCAAAGGGGAAAAUGAUGAUGCAGGCAAACUUGAAGAGCUCAGUCUAAACACCAGUACUGCAUAUCGGUGCAGUCACACACUCCUCUCCCUCCUUCUCUUCAAGUAAAAGGUUUGCAGCAACAGAGUCAGAAAUGAAGAUGAAAGAGUUCAAAGCACAAGUAGUAAUAGGAACAGAUAUGUUGGAGUGCUUAAGGACAGAGGUACAACAAACAGUGAAACCAUGCUUAUAGAUCAUUUUGCCACACACACACCUAUUUAUAUGCCGUGUUUGGAUAAAAAUAUAUUUAAAUCAAGAGCUCUAUAGAUAUUAUAACCUUAUUAUUAAUACAUGUGUAUGUAGGAAAGAAGAAGAGUUCUACUUGGUAAAACCCCUGGCUUCUAAGAAAAGCUGUAGGGAAGGAGAAGGAGCAAGAAGGCUGCUCUCAUGGCUUUACAGGCACUUAGCUACUUGCGGAGUGAAGGCCAUCAGGGAACACCCUAAGCUCCAAAAAACUUCAGCCUUGUUAAAAACUGUAUGUAGUUUCUAGGGUUACAGACAGUUCCUUGCAUUGGAAAAAUCACAGUAGUUUCUAUUUCAGAAUGAAAUAGAUGUUGCAGAAGCUUUGCCAUCUACUUCUUUUAAAUGCAAAUUGCUGGAAAGACUGCUUCCAGGAGGAAGAGAAUUUAAAAAAAAAAGUAUGAUUUUUAAAUCUCAGAAAGAUUUUGACAAUUUGACCCACAUUUAGUAUGAGCAUUCAGAACAGUUCUGAUAGCAUCUGAACCAAAACACUCAGUCUCAAAAUAUCAGUAAGAUUUUACCAGAUGCGGAUCUGAAAGAGAGAGGACCCUUUAUUUUCUCUCUCCAAGUUCAUCCAAGGAUAUAGCUCCCACUUAAAUAAAUCAGCUUCUCAAAAGUCAUGGGAUUCUUAGUGUCACACUUGAGGGAGGGGAUUGGAGUUUAAAUGUACUUCCAUCCUAUUUUCUUCAUUUGGAUUGUUGCUGUCUUAAGAUAGGAGAACUUUUGACUGUUUGAGCACAAUGAUUUCCUCAUGGCAGUACAGUAAAUAAAGAGCUAGUAAAUGAUUUGGGUGUUCAGUGGACUUUGCAAGCAAGAUUCUUAACGUUACUUAAGCAAAAGCUAAUGAACACUUACAACGACAUUCCCAUUUCCUAGCUCUAAUUCUCUCAUCACUUAUCCACAGACACAAGAUGCCUGCAACAAGCAUUAGUAUCACAUCCAUUCAAAACUAGAAGCACAAAGGUUGACCAGAAUCACAGCUGCUGACUACUCUGGAGAAAGAAGGGGGCUCUGAGGGUAUGCUGAACUAACAUCCAGCAUCUCCAGAGGACUAGCAAUGAGAACCUGUUCAUGGUGCCAACUGCUUAUGCCCGCACAUGCAUAUCUGUAUGUGUCCCUGAACAAAGAGAGCUUAACAGGAAUCUUUUCAUGGUUUUCUCCACAAAUAUAGGCCAAGAUUUUCAAAAAUAGAUGUCCAAAGUUAGGCAUUCCAAAAUCCAUAUUUAAGCUUCUACAGAAAUGGCCUCAUUCUCAGAAGUGCUGAAAUUGCCAAGAGCUGUAAGAUGUUCAAAACUUGAAAAUCAGGCCACAUCUUUAGGCUCUUGAAUCUGUUUUCAAGCACCUAAGUUUAGGCAUCUAAAUACUUGACUCUAAAAUAUUAUUACCCACACAUGACCUAUUAUAACCCAUCACAAAUAUAUGACAUUCUCAAAAGUGUAUUGUACUAAUUGCUCCACAUUUUCAGGUGCAGCUGAAAAGUGUACUGUCCAGCUCAGCAAAGGAUAACAAAAGCAGCUACUGCUCUUCUUGACCAACUUCCAGGUGGUUUCUAUGGCAGAAAACUACUAAGACUGACAAAAGGGGCCACCAAACCAUUGUGGCCGCUGUCCCAGCCCAUAUUCCCUUUCUCUAUUCUCAGUCUCUAGACCAUCAGGAGAAAGAAUGGAAUCAAUGCAAGGCUGCACUAGUCAAAUUAAAUAAGAGCUUUUUCAAUAACAAACUAAUCAUCCAAGUCCACUUAUUUCAUUGUCUGAAUCUGUGCAACAGAAGGGAAAUGGGCUCUAUACUUUACCAAUGCCAAUCAUGUUCACUAAGCAUGUGAACAAGGUAUGCCUGUUUUCAUUAAUGUUACCACAUAGGAUUCAGUAGUCUUCUGAAUCUCACGUUGGAACCUUCAUCUUAGGGAAGGUUAAAUAGCAGUUGGGUAUGCUGGAGUUCCAGCAGGGCAACUGUUUCUCCCUGUGUUCGAUAUGGUAGAAGCAGAAUAAAAGUAUAUCCCAAUAUUUGAAGAGAAAAACAUAUUAAGGAAAGGUUCAUCACUGAAACAGCAAAUAUAUAGAAGAUUAUUAUUUUUAUUGCAUUGAUAAAACGUCUUUGUUUCCUCUGGAUGCCAGACUGUGGCAUUAUCUCCAUGAUGUAUUCUAACAAAAUUCUUUGUAUGAAAUGAGGUCUUCAGAGUAAUUUCUCCAUAAUUCAGCAGCAUUUUUACAUAAUUGCUGCAUCCGGGAGCUUCAGUGCUUAUGAACUAGAGAAGACAACAUAUUCCACAUGGUGCACCUGUACACAACUAUACUAUCCCACACAGCUGAAACCACUCUCUGAUGAGUAGGCAAACUAGAAGCACAGAAAAUUAUCUUGAAUGUGAGGUCAUUCAUCAUAUCUGACAACAUCUUACUAAAACAGCAAUGAAGGCACUCAUAUCUUUAUAGCUUCUUUCACCCAAAUGGUUCCUCAUGCUUUCCCACUGUUUAGCUUUUUAAUGUAUGCUGUCUGUAUGACUACAAAGGGUCAAAUUCUCAGAUGUCCUGAAACAGUGGUAUUCCAUUAAAAAAACAACAAGCUGUCAUUACUUUAAACAAAUAAGAAUCUGAUCACAAAUUCCUUUGCUUAGCUAUAAAUUAUAACUGCUAUGGUACAGGUACAACCACUGUUUAAUGGCACAAAACAUCAUCAUCCAAGACUUUAUAGCAGGAAAUAAAGAAAAACAUCUCUUUACAAAGACACAGCAAGGGUAAAUUACCAAAAAAAGUAAAUCCAAACUGGCCAAGACAUUUAAAUAUAUUGUUUCAACACUAUCUCUAGGAGAACAAAACACCUACUAGAUCACCCACAAUCAUGAGCAUAAUUCAGCUUAACCCUCAAUAUAAUAUUUGGGUAUGACUCCUACCUACCAGGCAUAAUAGCCCUAUGGGGACUUUUGUUACUCCCUCUAGCCCACCAACUCUAUUUGGCGAAGCCCCAUUCCUCUGGGAACUACUCCCUUAAACCAUUAAUAUUUUCAACAGUACUAUCUCUGUUGUAAACAUAUGCCUACAUCAUUCUUGAAUACAAAGCAGAGAUUGCUUACUCACUGUCUUCCAAGAUGCUGAAGAGCUUCCGAGAGGCUAAAAUUAUUUGUUCAAGCACAGGACUGGUUAUAUGGCUUCCAGACCACACUGUUUACUCACUAACAUGGCCAGCAUUCCAAAUAUUUGUUCGCCAGCUGACAACCAUGCAAAUUUACCCUUAGGUCAUGUGAGCCAAAAAUAUUCCAGUGCAAAGGUGGUAUCACUGAGCUCUUUAUAGAAAAAAGUCUUUUUCAUCUGCUACAUAGCCCAAUGACUCAUGAACUAGAAAUAAAUUCCCAAAGUAUAAUACAUGGGAAUUUAAUGGAGCUCUAAUCUCUUUUUUUUUUGUCCAGAAAGUUUCCCCUUCACAUAUGUUGCAACAGAUCUCUUUUUCCAGCAUAUUGGAAGGAUCCUGCCAAGGAAUGUCUGAAUGAGAUGAAGGUGGUGUUUUAGACAGAAAAAUAAGACAGGUCAAGGCAGGGCAUUCAUGUGAAAUGUCUGCCAAAGCAUUACCAACAACAGAAGAGUUAGAAAGAAGGAAAGAAAAGUGUGAUACUGGAAACUGAUAGUCUGAUAAGAGACGGACAGGAAUCACAGGAAGCACUUAUGCGGAAAUGAAAGGAAGAAAGAAUUGUGCAGAGCCCUGGUUGACAAGUAAUAUGAUUUGAGUAUGAAAUGUAAAACAAUUGGCUGCUGAGAAUAAAAAAAAUGGGAAGAAAGCAUGAUGGGCACAAAAAGGUUGCUAUCUCAACAGCCACUCAAAUGAACUGCACUCAAGGAAAUCCAGAGGAAGAUGGUCAAAGCAGUCAGUGCAAGAGAAAGCAAAAGUAUGAUCAAAGCUUUUAGCUGGAAGUCAGGAAAGCCUACCACUAGCUCUGCUACCAGUAUUACUGGCUGUGCCAGAACAAGAACUGGGCAAGUCACAACAGGGGCCCAGUUGCCUUCUCCUUCCUCUGAGAUGAGCCUCAGAUCAGCAGAGGGCCAAAGAAGGAAAACAUACAUAGCUACAGACUCUGCUGAAGGUGUUCUAUCCAUAACUGAUAAAGGAUUCAUAUUUUAUGGCUUGCAAUGUUGAAAGAAAAAGCAGUUUAGCAGUUCUGCAUGGCAGAAGUUCCCGUGAUGUAGCUAUUCACACAGCAAUGCCAGCCCCAGGUACUUCAGAGUAAGUGUUUAUACUCAAAAAUCUGAACUCAAUCUUGAAGGCUUCCUCUCAGGAAAAAAAAAAAAAAAAGAAAAAGAAAAAGGAAAGAAAGAGGAAAGAGAGGAAAAACAUUUCACUUAAAAUUGCAUAAGAACUGCAAGAAAAGACUGUCAGAAGCAGUAGGUGUAAUUGGGGACUACAGAAAACCAUUAGGGAUGAAGGCUCAAGAUUCCUCUGCCAUAUAUACUUCAAUCUUUAUAUCGUAAUAUACAAAAUAUUUUUCUCACUAGGAAAUGCUUUUUCUGGUCCCUAAGUACUACAUCAUCAACCUUGUGUUUACAAAGCUAAUUUUCACCUUUCAUUAGCUCUUACCAUUUGCCCUGUGCUGCUGCAGGUAUCGUCAGCUGCUAGGAGAGCCAGGGACUUGCAGCAGUCUCAGUCACAGUGGAUUUAUGCUCUUCACUACAACCCCGUUAUCCUGAUAAACACUCUACCCUUCCUACUGCACUUCAGAGUGCUGACUCUCUCUUCACAGAGAAAAAGAGCUACAGUAAAGAAGAGAUACAUAUCAUUUGCUCCAUUAGUCAGUAACUGCAUUAUUAAAAAAGACACUUCUUCGAAUAUAAAUUCCAUCAAAUGCCAACAAAUGCACAGACAAUUGUUACGGAUCAAAGCUAGUGAAUACUGAAAACAAGUUGAGCUUUGAGUGGAAUAUGGUUCACUAGUGUUCAAAUCUGCCUCAUGGCUUAUGCUACAGUGAAAGUGCAUUUUAUGAUAAAUAGACAGGAGAAGAGAAGGAUGAACAGACAUUUAGCUGUUUGUUGCAUUACCAAGAAUGUGCUGCUUUGGAGUUACUAGUAACAGAUGCUUCAGUACAAGAAUACUUUCAGUAGGUAGUUACUGAGUAUCUGGCCUAUAUAUAUUUCCUCCUUACUUGAUGACUUGCUUUUAUUUUAAAAUAUUGAAGUUCAUAUUUCUUAAAAGGUUUUCUAACCAAGUUUCAUUUUUGAGAGAUUGCUUAAUACUUACAUGUUGUAUUCCAGACAAAAACUCUAAAGCAAGAUUUUUAACCUCCACAACACCGCGUAGCAGUAGGUUCCAGAAGCUGAUCAUGUACAGGAAAACAGAUUUCCUUACAUUUCAACAUGCCAUUUCUUUGGGAUCUCCUGGAAAUAUGCAACAAUUUGCUCUAGCACUCUGCUAGACAACAUACUGUCUCCUUGCAUUUAGGAAAGAUGCACAAUUACUAAAAUACAGUAUAUCUUAAGAAGUUAAAAGAAAAUAAAUCUACCAGCUCUCAAAAGAAACUCAGAGCAUGUUGCAGAAUGAAGCCAGUGCUGUGAUUUUAGUAUUCAAUUAGAGAGAGAGAUGUUCAAUAACAAAGUGUGUUUUACUCCAAAUUAACAUCACUUAGGUUACUGAAAGCACUCCAAGCUCCAUAACUUAUUUUUCAGGUAGGGAGCACUAUUAAAAAUCUGCUUGCCUUCUUUAACUUAAUCCCAUCUUAAAGGGCUAAAGAUAAAACUUGUAGAAGAGUUUUCAUUGUUGGGUUUCUCAGCUCUCUAAUUAGGUACUGCAGUCCAUAAAACAUACGCCACAGAAAAGCAGCAGAAGAACUGGCAGAUUGAGGCAGAUUGAAAAUGUCUUAAUCCUUCUGACCUUUACCAUAAUUUUCCUUCUCCAGCAGAAUACACAGCUGACCUUUUCUACCCACUGACAGCACAGCUUAUGGCAGAUUUCCAUUAACCAAAGCACUAUAAGUUCACAGCAGCUACUGCUGGUAAUCCAGCUCAGUUCAGCAAGGAUAUUAUAAAGCACAACUCACUCAAACCUUGACUGUUGAUUGAUAACAGCUCCAGAAAUUCACAAUGGCUAUGCUUGCAUACCUGCUGUCUUUCCAGAUGUGCACAGAGGCAAAGUGCCUGCAAGACAGCUAAAUGUUACAGAUGCACCCAGCAGAAAGAGGACUGAAGCGCGUGCAGGUGCAUCAAGCGUGUUCAUCUAAAUCAUCAGUUGCACUGAGCUGAGGGAUGUUUGGCUACCUACCCAACACACGGGAGAGCAUCCCCUGACAUGACACUGGGAAAGUCACUAGACCCCUAUGGCUCCACUCUUCAUCUAUGAAAUAGGGGAGGAUUGCAUCUCCUUACUUCAGAGUGUUAUGAAACCCUUGAAGACAGUGAAUCAUUUUCAGCUACUCUUGUAACAGGGUCCAGAUGGAGAUAUUUGCAGAAUAUUUUAGGUGCACAGUUUAUCAUUUAAAUAUGGAAGGAAAACAAAAUAUGGUGGGAUAUGGUAUAAAGGUUUUAUUGAAAUGAGUUGGAUAUGGGUAUUAUUCAUGACUAGAAAAACCCAGAGUGAAUCAUGAAGGUCAUAUCAACUGACUACCAGCAAAAUCUUUAUACCCAACGGUACCAUCCUGGUCUCUGUAAAUUUCUCGCUUUUAUUGAAAAAACCAAACAUUUGUGAUAAUUUCAUAUCUUUUCCACAUCUUUUUAAAUUGAAUCUAUUUUUAUAGCUCCAGCUGUAAAGCCAGACUCACUUAGUAACCAUGUGUCCAACUACAAAGCUCGCUGAGGGAGUGAAAACAAAAAAAUAAAGUAAUAUUUUCAUUCCAAAAAUAACCUGAGCUCUUCAGCUUGCUUUCUCUCCCUCUCUUUUCUUUCUCUCUUUUUUUUUUUUUAAAUUAGAUUCAAUAUAGAAGCCUAAAGCCAAGAUUCCUUUGAGUACUUAUCAUAUGUCUUGCCAGAGAGCACCAGAAACUGAGCAGUUGGAUGUUUCAGAUCCAUGUAACUAUAACAUACCUCUAUGGUCAGCAAAGAAAAAGAAGCUGGGGUCUCCUACGGAAUCAAAGGCUGUAAAACACUGUGAUUCCUACCAAAUAUUGAAAGCUCUAUUGGACAGUACUAAGCAGGAAUAGACACCAAGGAAAUCUAUGAUUAUCUUUGACUAGUUUAAGACAACAGUUUCAAACCUGAAUAUGAAUUUUCUGGAUGAAUGUAAUAAACGUAAUUAAAAAGCUACAAAUAUGAGAUGCCUAUGAAUGAGAGAAAAAAGCAGAAAGAUCAAACUAUAAGCAGGAAAAUUUGUAAUGAAGAGCAUGGAAAUCUUCCAGAAGGUGAGAAGAUGCUAUGGUAUUAUUAUUUAUUCCUUGUAAUGUUUGUGAUAGAACCUUAACAUUGGAUCACAAAAGUCUCAUGUCUCAGAGGAUAAGAAUUUCAUUACUGAAGACACUUAAAAUUAAAACACAGAAGAAUGGAGAAAGCUAUUGAAAAAAAACCUGCCGUGACCCCACCAACAUGCAGAGUAACAUAAAUUAUCUGAAUAUAUUACCAAAAUUUGAAGCAUCACUUAAUCUUCAAGAAGCACCUGUUCUGGAUUCUUCACUCUUUCGACUUCUCAUAUCUGAACUACCUUCUCAGCAACACAACAGUGAGAUGCUACCUCAGCCCAUCUCUCCACAAUCAUCUUGAAAACCCAUUUCUGGAUUUGUCACAAUCAAUUAUCUUGUCUUCUGGCUGAAACCUUGGGCACUCUGGGCUCACUCUGCAUUAUGGGGAGAAAGUCCUUUACAGUGUCCACCAUUGACAGUAAUUCUCAUUUGGAAGGAAGGAUCAGUGGGAAAGAAUUCAUCUUAACACCCCCAUUGGAGGUGACAGAUUAUCAGUUUGAGCACUCCGUUCUUUUCCCUAAUCUGUUACUGAUAAUGCUCAGCAUGACUCAAAUGUCUGUCCCUGGGAGGAGUCUUAAAAUAAAGCAAAGCUGCAACUGUGAGAAGUUGGACAAAUUCAUUUUUUUUCUUUUUCCUGGAAUAUUUAGUUACAGCUGACAGAAGUUUGCAAACAUCUCCCACUUACUCAGCAGUUUGGAUGUGCACUGAAGUCGUGCUCUUAUAUUGAAACCAAGAAAAAAGAUUAAUAAUCUUUCUCUGGUUUUGCAUCAAAUGCAAACUUUACUUCUCACAAAGCUGUAACAACUGCAUCUUUCCUCAUACAAGGGGCUCAGAAUACAGACAUCAGGUAACAAUCAAGCUGAGAUUUUCCAUGCUGAAAUACAGAGAAGAGAGCAAACAUAAGCUCUGAUACUUUACCAUCCUGUUCUGCAGGAAGAGGCUUAAGAAGCAGCUGAUUAGUCCUGCUUUCUCCACCAUGUUCAAAAGGGUUUGUUUGCAUGUGUGAGCAAAAAGAGAGAAAAUGGGAAGGAAAGGUUCCAUUUAGGGAAGGACCUGUAAAUAGAAGUUUUCAGCAAUACAGCAUAUCACCAAAUACCUUGUUGUUUCCUCUGCCAUUAUGAAGAGCAAUACUUUGUAUGCCAUUACUUACCAAAUUCACUUUGUAGGAUUUGCUACACACAGACAUUCCUCUGCCAUUUUAUGGCAUGGAAAAUUUGGGGUUCUCUCUCUGCUGGGCUAAUUAGGUCAGAGAAUUCUAUUUCACCCCAGUAUCUCUAGCAAAUGCUCACAAGUGUAGACAUUAAAAAAAAUAGGGGGCAAUCACUACUUAGAACAAGCUAAGCAUUAAAAAUGGAGUUCUUUUUUUUACCAAAUUUGUUUUAAAAGCAUUAGUUAGAAACCAGUCAGCUGCUUGUUUGGCAUUCAGAUCCAAAGCCAAGCACCAAUCUCUCUUUCAAUUUACAUUAUUCUUGAGAACAGAAACAAUAAGCAAGCUGGGGCUUAAUGAGCCUGCAUGUGGGGUCAGUCUGCUGGAACAAAGCAGGAUGAUCAUUUUCGGAGCUAUCCCAGUUUGAAACAGUAACUACAUAGGGGGAUAAUGAGCAACAGUGAAGUAAGGACCUGCAUAGGUAGCUCAUUCAAAGGAUUUCACAGCUAGUGACUCCCUCAUGGCUUCUUUGAUUCAGCUAAUGGUAAGAUACCAUUGUCCAAGAACAGGCAUUGAUCUGCUGAUCCAAAUCAGCUCAUGUCAGUCUUUGGCAGAGCUGCAGUGGAACAUCUGGUCUGAGGAGAAAACACUGCUGCUUCUAGAGAUACUUGCUUCAAAUAAAAUGUGUACUAUACAAUGCAUAAAAGGAACUGGAGACUGAAAAUCCACCUCCACAGCUCUAAACUCUUUCUGUAACUAUUUCUGAGCAGAAUUUUCUGCUAAGACCUAAGUACAUGAAAAGUACAGACUUCCACCAUUAGAGCUGAAAAGAACCUCCUAUAACUGUCUGCAAGAUAUGGAAGUAAAUAGUUUCAGAUAUGACAACACUCCACCAAACAGGGAGUCAAAAGACAAAACACAGUGCUGUGAUACCAUCAUCAUCCAAUCUCUCUUUUCUAUACCUCAUUACACAGACAACAUUCUGGGGCACAUUUCAUAUUCUUUGUUAGUCAACUUCCUAACAGCCUUCUUUCAUUUCCGUGCCCUCCACAGCACCAAAGAGCAGGAGAAAUGAUAAUCCAUUAGCUCAAGAAAGGCUCAGAUUUAAAGGUGAUAAACGGAUAGAAGAUUCUAAAGGCAGACUAGAUUAGUACCAUGCACAUAUCUUUGGGCCAUCUAGAAGAGGGAUCUGCAAUUAUUCUAAGACAAUUUAAUGAGCUUUUGAAAAUUUUACCUAGCAACUCAUUCCCCAAGCUACAAAACAACAGCCUAAGAAAUCUGAGCGGCAGACAAGUGAAUGGUUAAAAUCCUGCUUGUGAUUUGCUGCAGACAUUCUCCCUAGAAAUGUUUGAGAAUAAUGGUUCUGCGUAGGAAGAAAGAAAAACUGUUGAUAUUUUAGUCACAUCCAUAUAUUCUAG